GGGAUUCAUAGAAUCAUUGAGGCUGGAAAAGACACACAAGAUCAUCAGCUCCAACCCGCAACCCUGCACUGCCAGGUCCAACGCUGAGCCACGGAUGGCGCCUGCCCCCGAAGCCAGGGAGAAGCCACCCAAGCUGUGUUUGGGAUGGGUGGGUAAUUAAUUCUUUGGGGCCAAACAGCCCAAAUCCUGCACGGGAGCAUCGCUGCGCUGGGGAUGGGGGAGCACAGGGCGGAGAGACUCCAUCCCGGGGCAAGGGCACCCUGCAUCCCGAGCCACCUCCACCAGAGCCGCACGACGGUCACCCACGGCCCGGGCUCCUGCAGCCCUGCCCGCUCCCUUCCUGCUUCCUGCCGCCGGCGGAAGGGCUGGGGCCGGUGCUCUUCCCCGGCACGGCUGUCCCAUCCCGCUGGGGUUUCCCUUUCCCCGGCCCGGCUGUCCCAUCCCCGUCCCGGCUAUCCCAUCCUCGUCCCGGUUCCCCUCCCCGGCCCGGUUCCCCAUCCCGUUCCGGCUGUCCCAUCCCGCUCCGGUUUCCCAUCCCUGUCCCGGCUACCCCUUCCCCGUCUCGGCUGUCCCAUCCCGCUCCGGUUUCCCUUCCCCAAUCCCACUCUCGUUUCCCUUCCCCGUCUCGGCUGUCCCAUCCCGCUCGAGUUUCCUUUCCCCGGCCCGGCUCCGGUUCCCCAUCCCCGGUCCGGCUGUCCCAUGCCGCUCCGGUUCCCAUCCCCAGCCGCUCGCCGGGAUCAGCAGAACGCUGCGGUCCCUUCCCACCCAAGCCAUGCCGGAUCUGUGACACUCUCAGGACUGGCUUUGUUCAGGCUCAUCAGCCACUGGAGUCUUUCCUUUCCCCAGCCCACUGGGAAAUGAAAGCGCACGAAGGGCUGGGGGGCUUUGCUGCCCUACGGGUGUUGGGAGCCGUGUGUCCCACCCUGGCUGCCUUGGAGGCUUGAAUUUCUCCUGGGAAAGCUAUUUUUGGUGGUAUUUGUUAUUGUGUUUUUCUUUCCAACCUGAAGAGGGCUCUCGGCACUCGCUGUGAGCCUGCCCUGCCCUGCACUCUCAGCUCUCGGCUCCCAACACCGUUUGAUUUUGUGACUCAGUUUACCUGCAGUGCUGCCGCUUGUGACAAUGCCACUUGUGACCCUGUAGUCUGGCUGACGUGAGAAGCCCACGAGUACUGAUAUUUCAGCCAGCUGAGCCUUGCCCAGUACCUAAAGCCAUGUUGGAAGCAGUUUCUGGUGUGUUAAUCCAAAUGAAUGCUGGAAAAGCCGCUGCACUGAGUCUGUCCAAGGCAGGGAUGGCAUCUAGCACUUUCCACAGCUGUUGUCCUUGUACCUUGGACAUAUUCUCCAACAGGUAUAGAUGUGGGAGCUGCUCUUGAUGAAGCUGCCUGCAGCUGUGAUGUGAAGGGAUUUACAAAUGGAUUUGGAAUCACCUCCUGCCCAGAGGAGCAGGCAGUGAUGCUGGUGGUGGGUGAAUAAAACAGGAGGCCUGGGCAGGGAAGUUCUGUGCUCAUUCUUGCUGUGUAAGAGCCACAAGCCACAACACAGAUCACACAAUUAAAGACAAUGAUAUUUUUGCUCCUGGCAAUGUUUUGGUCAGCUCAUGCUCUCCUCAGUCAUUUCCCAUCCUGCCAGUCCCUGCUUUGGUUUAUAGCUGGGAUGCUGGUAGGUACACUGGGGAAGGCAAGGCCUGUGUUUGGGGGGAGAUAAAUCAAAAAGCAGAAUCCCUGAUUGUGACUGCUGGGUUGAAAGGCUCACUGCUCUUGGAGCUCAGUGCUGCUCUGUCUCCUGGUGCCACUGAAAUUGAGCCACUCAUCCCAGUAUGUUCCAGUUAGCCCCUG
rnacentral:lncRNA from 14 species